rnacentral:rRNA from 1 species
UACGUAGGGUGCGAGCGUUAAUCGGAAUUACUGGGCGUAAAGCGUGCGCAGGCGGUUCUCCAAGUCCGUUGUGAAAGCCCCGGGCUCAACCUGGGAAUGGCAGUGGAAACUAGGGGACUUGAAUCUGGCAGAGGGGGGUGGAAUUCCGCGUGUAGCAGUGAAAUGCGUAGAGAUGCGGAGGAACACCGAUGGUGAAGGCAGCCCCCUGGGCUAAUACUGACGCUGAGGCACGAAAGCGUGGGGAGCAAACAGG